rnacentral:rRNA from 1 species
GACGAACGCUGGCGGCGUGCCUAAUACAUGCAAGUCGAGCGAGACUCUUCGGAGUCUAGCGGCGGACGGGUGAGUAACACGUGGGCAACCUGCCUGUAAGACUGAGAUAACACCGGGAAACCGGUGCUAAUACCGGAUAAUCCUUUUCCUCUCAUGAAGAAAAGCUGAAAGUCGGUUUCGGCUGACACUUACAGAUGGGCCCGCGGCGCAUUAGCUAGUUGGUGAGGUAACGGCUCACCAAGGCGACGAUGCGUAGCCGACCUGAGAGGGUGAUCGGCCACACUGGGACUGAGACACGGCCCAGACUCCUAGGGGAGGCAGCAGUAGGGAAUCUUCCACAAUGGACGAAAGUCUGAUGGAGCAACGCCGCGUGAGCGAUGAAGGCCUUCGGGUCGUAAAGCUCUGUUGUUAGGGAAGAACAAGUACCGGAGUAACUGCCGGUACCUUGACGGAACCUAACCAGAAAGCCACGGCUAACUACGUGCCAGCCGCCGCAGUAAAAC